AUGCCGUCGCCGACCUCGUGCUACCCGAUUCGACCCCACCGCCUCCCCGCGGCACCGCCUCGUUGCCGCACUGCCCCGCCCCGUCGCCGCAACCUCCGCCGCACCAUCCCGUCACCGCAACCUCCGCCGCCCCGCCCUGACUCGUCGCCGCACGGCCCCGCCCCGCCGAGGAAGGCCCUGAAGAGCAAGACAGGUUUCUUCGGCGUGUGGGCGAAGCCCUCCGGCAACUUCAAGGUGGAGUUCAGUGACACCGGCCGUCGCUUUUGGCUCGGCACCUACCCCACCGUCCACGAGGCCGCGCUUGCCUACGACGUGGCGGUGUGGCGUGUCGGGAGGCCGAGGAACGACCUUAACUUCCCGGAGAUCGAGACCCAGGUGGAUGCGGAGUUGCUCGUGCCGGGGGGCAUUCGCAUGGUGGAGAUCACAGCGAAGAAGACGAAGAAGAGGCCCACCAUUGACAUUGUCGGCGAUAGCGACGAGGCGGUGAUGUCGAGGUUCGUGCAUGAGCAUCCGGAGUAUGUGCAGGCCGAACAGGAGUUCUUCUGGAAGCGCGACGCUGAGAAGAAGAAGAAGAAGAAGAAGAAGAAGAAGAAGAAGAAGAAGAAGAAGAAGAAGAAGAAGAAGAAGAAGAAGAAGAAGAAGAAGAAGAAGAAGAAGGACGAGGCCGACCCUCGACGGUGA
rnacentral:rRNA from 1 species